rnacentral:lncRNA from 1 species
UCUAUUCAAUAGUCCAUAGUGAAAUAACAUGAAGCUAUUCUUUCCGUUCGAUCCAUCAUACAGUUCGUACUAAAAUAACACCUUAAGAUACAUAUCAACCAAGACCCUCAUGUCACCUAGAUACUCCAUUGUCACCUCAAGUAUCCGUGGGCAUGAUUAUAUGAUAUGCUUCACAUAAUCUCAGAAUCAUCUAUUCAAC